rnacentral:rRNA from 1 species
AUUGAACGCUGGCGGCAGGCUUAACACAUGCAAGUCGAGCGGGGUGAUGGUGCUUGCACUAUCACUUAGCGGCGGACGGGUGAGUAAUGCUUAGGAAUCUGCCUAUUAGUGGGGGACAACAUCUCGAAAGGGAUGCUAAUACCGCAUACGUCCUACGGGAGAAAGCAGGGGAUCACUUGUGACCUUGCGCUAAUAGAUGAGCCUAAGUCGGAUUAGCUAGUUGGUAGGGUAAAGGCCUACCAAGGCGACGAUCCAUAGCUGGUCUGAGAGGACGAUCAGCCACACUGGGACUGAGACACGGCCCAGACUCCUACGGGAGGCAGCAGUGGGGAAUAUUGGACAAUGGGCGCAAGCCUGAUCCAGCAAUACCGCGUGUGUGAAGAAGGCCUGAGGGUUGUAAAGCACUUUCAAUGGGGAGGAAAAAGCACGGGCGAAUACCCUGUGCCUUGACAUUACCCAUACAAGAAGCACCGGCUAACUCCGUGCCAGCCGCCGCCGUAA